UACGAAGGGGGCUAGCGUUGCUCGGAAUCACUAGGCGUAAAGCGCACGUAGGCGGAUUGCUAAGUCAGGGGUGAAAUCCUGGAGCUCAACUCCAGAACUGCCUUUGAUACUGGCGAUCUCGAGUCCGGGAGAGGUGAGUGGAACUGCGAGUGUAGAGGUGAAAUUCGUAGAUAUUCGCAAGAACACCAGUGGCGAAGGCGGCUCACUGGCCCGGUACUGACGCUGAGGUGCGAAAGCGUGGGGAGCAAACAGG
rnacentral:rRNA from 1 species